AGGUCAUGGUGUGGGCAAUACCUUAGCAGGCUCUUGUACCUCUCCCAAGCUUCAUACAGUGACUCUCCAACUUGUUCAAAGUUAGCAAUGGCCUUCUUCAAUUU